GAUGAACGCUGGCGGCGUGCCUAAUACAUGCAAGUCGAGCGAACGGACGAGAAGCUUGCUUCUCUGACGUUAGCGGCGGACGGGUGAGUAACACGUGGAUAACCUACCUAUAAGACUGGGAUAACUUCGGGAAACCGGAGCUAAUACCGGAUAAUAUUUUGAACCGCAUGGUUCAAUAGUGAAAGACGGUCUUGCUGUCACUUAUAGAUGGAUCCGCGCUGCAUUAGCUAGUUGGUAAGGUAACGGCUUACCAAGGCAACGAUGCGUAGCCGACCUGAGAGGGUGAUCGGCCACACUGGAACUGAGACACGGUCCAGACUCCUACGGGAGGCAGCAGUAGGGAAUCUUCCGCAAUGGGCGAAAGCCUGACGGAGCAACGCCGCGUGAGUGAUGAAGGUCUUCGGAUCGUAAAACUCUGUUAUUAGGGAAGAACAUAUGUGUAAGUAACUAUGCACAUCUUGACGGUACCUAAUCAGAAAGCCACGGCUAACUACGUG
rnacentral:rRNA from 1 species